ensembl:lncRNA
AUUGACACAGCAUUGUAAAUCAACUAUACUUUAAUUUAAAAUUUUUAAAAAUUUUUUUAAAAGAUGGGAGAUUGAAUAUUUUACUUGAAUACAUUGUUGCUCCAAAUAAAUCAGGUUUUAUCCAUAAGAAAAAGAGAAUGGAUGAUAAGCAGGCAAGUAGAGUGUCUGUCACAAUUUCCCAAUUCAGCUCAAUGCAUAAAAUUUUUAUUGAGAAACUACUAAACAGGUGCUGUGCUAGCCAUAGGAAUUUAUAAACAAAAGUGAACACAGUUCUUAUGUCAGAAUGAGGAAUUACUGCACAGAAGAGGCUGCUUGAUUAUCUCUGGUCUAUAAUUAGAAAAUUAAAUGUAUUUUAGCAAGUUGGAAAUUUUCUGGAAAGCAAGAAGGAUCAUUGCUUAAAAUCCUCUUCAACCAUGGAUUUAUUGCAACUUACUUAUCAUUAAGAGUAAAAAUGUCUAUUUAAUAAAACAUUAAAUAAGAGUGACUUACCAAAUUUUUUAUUUGGCACUAAAUUAUAGAAAAUAAUAAUAGGAAGAAGAUUGCCGAUACAAAAUUGUUUCUCCUUCUCCUGUAAUAAACUUAUUUCACAGAAUUUAGACUUUAAUUAUUCAUGCUUUAACUAUCUCAUGUAUUGAAGUCCCACAUUUCCCAUGGACAAACGUGUCUUUGUGUCUUCCAGUUUUGUGGUUUGGAAUGCCUUUCCCCUACACUCUGUUAAUCCCCACCCCUGGCCGUCUUAAAAAACACUUGGCCUUGACAUUUUUCCAUUACUUAUUCCAGCGUGAGCUUUACUUUCUCAGCAGAUCUUAACUCUUUGGGUAUAGAAGUCUCGCCUGUUUUUAACCUGUCACCCCAUCUGAUGCUCUGUCUGCCCCAAGUGCUCGUGAAGUGAUAUGAAAUAAGUGCAUGCCUUCUGAGCUGCUGGGUGCUUUCACAUCAUUAGAUAAUUACUGAGGCAACCAUUCAGGACUUUUUUUUUUUUCAGGUAUUAAGAACACAUUUGUGUAACUCCGCUAAAUCGUUUUCCAAACUGUCUCGAGAUUUUUGCCCAUGAGCCUCCCAGCAACCCUAUCUUUCAUAUUGGUAAGGUGGGUGGUCUUAUUUUCACAGUUCAUCAAGAAAGUGAGGCUCAGAGAACUUUAGUUGAGCAAGACCAUCUAGACAGCCAGCCAGUCUUAAACCCAGCUCUUCUCAUAUCCACUUCACUCCAUGGUGCACUACACCAAGUCGCCUUAGAUUCAGUGUUCAUUGGAGAGACACCCCUCCCACUAAGGUGAGCAGGGGAGGGGUGGUCUUUCCAGGACCUCGCUGAACUUUGGAAGAAGAGCAGAAUGGAGGAAGGAGGUCUUAACGGGAGUUAGCUCAAUAGUCGUCCCUUAAAUCCUGUCGCAGAAUCAUUAGUAUUUGCUGAUCCUGCUCCAAAGAAAUAGUCAGAUAGACUCGAGGCAUCCAGUUAAUCCUACCGCCUCCCACCAUUGAAACACCACACUGUCAAAGGUUAAUUGAAUUAUAGAAAGAUGUUAUAAAGAUCUCUCAUAUUUGGGAACUGCUUUAAAAAUGUUUAAAUUCUUUCCUCUAUUUUGUUUCACAUGAGCUUCCUAACAAUCUUUGGAAGUACUCAGGGCAAGGAUUUUUUAUCUCCAUUGGAUGGGGGGAGAAAUGCGGGACCAGGAGGGUGAACUGAUCUGCUCCACAGCACACGGCUCGGUGAUAGGAAAACUAGU